rnacentral:lncRNA from 1 species
UGGUGGCUUAUAUUGUGAUUAUAUAAAGUAUCACCUAAAGACAAGCUGCUCUGUAAAGCCAGGAGUAAACUCUUCCUCAAUCCUGAGAAGCCAGGAUUUCGCUAUGUAAUUUAAUGUGUUUCAUCUAGCCUCAACGCGGGCUAUGAGGGGUCGGCAUCGUGAGAGACACACUGGCCCAGAAACCUAUGGGUUAAAAUUCCCGGUCCGAGCUGCACUCGCAGCUACUCUCGGCUCAGCGGGAGGACAGUGGGGAAGAAGCCAAUCAACGCUGGGGGCGGGCCUAUGAACGGUCCAAUCAGCCGUCCCGGGGCGGGCUCUGUGCUUCUCCGAGGCCCGGAUGCCGAUCGCUGAGCGCCGAGCGCCGAGCGGCCUGGCGGUGUAGACCGCGUUUCUUCAGGAUGUGUGCUGUACGCAGGCUGCGCGGGAAGCGCCGGGGGUUGCCCCUCCAGCCACUGCACGGUAUUUAUUAUCAGUAAAUUCUGCCUUACAGAGUGGUCAAAUGGGAGCAGAUGAAGAAAUUGAUGGCUUCGAAGGAAGAUCAGCUGAAGUAGAAGAAAUAAAGGUGGAAAAAGAGGCCAAAACCCAAGCUAUUCUUUUAGAGAUGGAAGAAACUGGGAUGACCAGCAAAUUGAAGAUGAGUACCAAAAUUACAGGAAAAAUCCAAGGUAAUUUGCACUCACAAGAAUGUUCCUCAGAGGUCAUAAAUAUUUGUUUUUGUUUUUUUUUGUUUUUUUUUUUUUUUGUUUUGUUUUUUUGAGACAGGGUCUCACUAUGUAGUUGAGACUGACCUGGAACUCACUGUGUAGCCCAGGCUGGUCUCGAACUCACAGUGAUCCUCCUGCCUCAGCCUCCCGAGUGCUGGGAUUACAGGCGUGCGCCACCACACCCAGCCAUAAAUAUUAAAACCAAGCAAACUACAGAAAUAAGGCCAUGUUCACAAAAAUACAGGCAUGGUGGCAUGUUCCAGUAAUAUCAGCACUUGGGUGACUGAGGCAGGAGAAUGGCAAGGAGUUCAAGGUUUGCCUGUGCUACAUAGGGAGCUUAAGCUCGACCUGAACUACAUAGAUAGACCUUGUUUCAAAAAUCAAAUGAACAAACAAAAUGAGCCCA